rnacentral:rRNA from 1 species
GUCGAGCGGUACAGGAAUUAGCUUGCUAAUUUGCUGACGAGCGGCGGACGGGUGAGUAACGCGUAGGAAUCUGCCUAGUAGUGGGGGACAACAUGUGGAAACGCAUGCUAAUACCGCAUACGCCCUACGGGGGAAAGGAGGGGAUCUUCGGACCUUUCGCUAUUAGAUGAGCCUGCGUAAGAUUAGCUAGUUGGUGGGGUAAAGGCUCACCAAGGCGACGAUCUUUAGCUGGUCUGAGAGGAUGAUCAGCCACACUGGGACUGAGACACGGCCCAGACUCCUACGGGAGGCAGCAGUGGGGAAUAUUGGACAAUGGGCGCAAGCCUGAUCCAGCCAUGCCGCGUGUGUGAAGAAGGCCUUCGGGUUGUAAAGCACUUUCAGAAGUGAGGAAGGGUGAUUGGCUAAUAUCCAAUUAUCUUGACGUUAGCUUCAGAAGAAGCACCGGCUAACUCUGUGCCAGCAGCCGCGGUAAUACAGAGGGUGCGAGCGUUAAUCGGAAUUACUGGGCGUAAAGCGCGCGUAGGUGGUUUGUUAAGUCGGAUGUGAAAGCCCAGGGCUCAACCUUGGAAUUGCACCCGAUACUGGCAGGCUAGAGUACGGUAGAGGGGUGUGGAAUUUCCUGUGUAGCGGUGAAAUGCGUAGAUAUAGNNNNGNACAUCAGUGGCNAANNNGANACCCUGNNNCGAUACUGACNNUGNNNGCGAAAGCGUGGGGAGCAAAC